rnacentral:rRNA from 1 species
GAUCAUGGCUCAGGAUGAACGCUAGCUACAGGCUUAACACAUGCAAGUCGAGGGGAAACGACAUCGAAAGCUUGCUUCCGAUGGGCGUCGACCGGCGCACGGGUGAGUAACGCGUAUCCAACCUGCCCACCACUUGGGAAUAACCUUGCGAAAGUAAGACUAAUGCCCAAUGACAUCCCACGAAGGCAUCCGAAUGGGAUUAAAGAUUUAUCGGUGAUGGAUGGGGAUGCGUCUGAUUAG